GACGAACGCUGGCGGCGUGCUUAACACAUGCAAGUCGAACGGAAAGGCCCUGCAUUUGUGGGGUGCUCGAGUGGCGAACGGGUGAGUAACACGUGAGUAACCUGCCCUUGACUUUGGGAUAACUUCAGGAAACUGGGGCUAAUACCGGAUAGGAGCUCCUGCUGCAUGGUGGGGGUUGGAAAGUUUCGGCGGUUGGGGAUGGACUCGCGGCUUAUCAGCUUGUUGGUGGGGUAGUGGCUUACCAAGGCUUUGACGGGUAGCCGGCCUGAGAGGGUGACCGGCCACAAUGGGACUGAGGUACGGCCCAGACUCCUACGGGAGGCAGCAGUGGGAAAUAUUGCACAAUGGGCGGGAGCGAGAUGCAGCAACGCCGCGUGCGGGAUGACGGCCUUCGGGUUGUAAACCGCUUUCGCCUGUGACGAAGCGUGAGUGACGGUAAUGAAUAAAGAAGCACCGGCUAACUACGUG
rnacentral:rRNA from 1 species